GACGAACCGUCCGAACGUUAUUCGGAAUCACUGGGCUUAAAGGGUGCGUAGGCGGCGCGGAAAGUUGGGUGUGAAAUCCCUCGGCUUAACCGAGGAACUGCGCCCAAAACUACCGUGCUUGAGGGAGAUAGAGGUGAGCGGAACUUAGGGUGGAGCGGUGAAAUGCGUUGAUAUCCUAAGGAACACCGGUGGCGAAAGCGGCUCACUGGAUCUCUUCUGACGCUGAGACACGAAAGCUAGGGUAGCGAACGGG
rnacentral:rRNA from 1 species